GACGAACGCUGGCGGCGUGCUUAACACAUGCAAGUCGAACGGGGUGUUUAUUUCGGUAAACACCAAGUGGCGAACGGGUGAGUAACGCGUAAGCAAUCUACCUUCAAGAUGGGGACAACACUUCGAAAGGGGUGCUAAUACCGAAUGAAUGUAAGAGUAUCGCAUGAGACACUUACUAAAGGAGGCCUCCGAAAAAUGCUUCCGCUUGAAGAUGAGCUUGCGUCUGAUUAGCUAGUUGGUGAGGGUAAAGGCCCACCAAGGCGACGAUCAGUAGCCGGUCUGAGAGGAUGAACGCACAUUGGGACUGAGACACGGCCCAGACUCCUACGGGAGGCAGCAGUGGGGAA
rnacentral:rRNA from 1 species